rnacentral:rRNA from 1 species
AUACGGAGGGUGCAAGCGUUAAUCGGAAUUACUGGGCGUAAAGGGCGCGUAGGUGGCUUGAUAAGUCAGAUGUGAAAUCCCUGGGCUUAACCUGGGAAUUGCAUUUGAUACUGUCAGACUAGAGUGUGGUAGAGGUAAGCGGAAUUCCCGGUGUGGCGGUGAAAUGCGUAGAUAUCGGGAAGAACAUCAGUGGCGAAGGCGGCUUACUGGAUCAACACUGACACUGAGGCGCGAAAGCGUGGGUAGCAAACAGGAUUAGAAACCCCAGUAGUCC